GGUCCCGUAGCUCAGUUGGUUAGAGCGUUGGUCUUAUGGCCGAGGUAAGUCAAAGCCGAAGGUCGCGGGUUCUGUCCCCCCGGGACCA
rnacentral:tRNA from 1 species